CAACCACUUGCUGCAGCCACAGAAGAUACCGCUACCCCGGACCACGUGACUGCGGACGCCCGCUGCUGACCCCAGGAGAUGCCUGGUGACGCGGUCCCUACAGCUGCGCCACCGCGGUAGCCGGGCCCUGUGCUGCCGCCACCGCUGCUGGCCAGCUGCCUGCUGCAGGGGAGGCUCCAGGCACAUUCCCCGAGGAGCCUGGUGGAGACCCUGGAGACAGCCUUCAUCUCUGAUACCCCCGCUUCCCUGUCUACUAUCUCCAGUUUUUCCAUCCAACAGGAGAUGGACCUAAUGUCAGAAAGGUAAGCCCACCCAGGGUGACAGGGUCACAUAUAGCUGUGAGUCCUGAUACUGACCCUGUGCCUCUCAGUCUCAGCCCUCUCCUCUGAACUGUGGGGUGCCAAGAACACUGACCUCAUGGAGGAAAGGCCAGGCCUCUCAUACUGCUGCCCCCUUCCUUCCUGGGUGGUCUCCUCACUCCCUCAUUUGCUUCACUGCCCACUUGGUAAUGUCCACAGCCAGGUCAUGGUCACAGGUGCUGAAAUGGAGGACCAAGGCCACCAUGUCCCAGACUUGACAGAAAACCCAGAGCCCAUGGAGGAAGAGGCUGAAGCUGCAGGGCCACCUCCGGUGCUUGGGGACACUUCAGCUCAAAUUCCACCACCUCCACCACCUGAGAGAGAGCUGGACCUGGAAAGGCCUGCAAUGGCAGAUCCUGGCCAAGAACUCCUGCUGGACCCUCAGGCAGCACCUCUUACCAAGACCAAUCCAGAGCCUCCAUUCCUUGCCCCU
rnacentral:lncRNA from 1 species